rnacentral:tRNA from 1 species
GGCCGGCUAGCGUAAUGGUUAACGCGUCAGUUUCCGGAGCUGAAGAUUCCAUGUUCGAGUCCUGGGUUGGUCG